rnacentral:tRNA from 1 species
GCGGAUGUGGUGGAAUUGGUAGACUCAUUGGAUUUAGGUUCCAACGCGUGAGCGUGCAGGUUCGAGUCCUGUCAUCCGCACCA